rnacentral:misc_RNA from 1 species
GGAGAUUUGCCGGCUGCCAAAUCAACCGGCUGUUAUUCAUCUCCGGCAGGGUCAAACUGCCGGAAUAUAUUCUAUUAAAACGCCACAGUUUUCAUCCAAUAUUAAAUGCAGUGUAGGUGAAGAAUCCAGCACUAAAAAUCCGGAUUUGAAAAAUCGAAUGUUCAUUCUGGGGAUGGGUUUCGUAGGAAAAUUCUUGGCUGCAGAUUUGAAAAGCAAUGGAUGGGAAGUUACAGGAACUUGUACCAGUACUGCACGGAAGAAGAA